CAUACACACACGCACACACACACACACACGCACACGCACGCAUACACACACACACACACACACACACGCAUACACACAUACACACACGCACGCACGCACACACAAGCACGGAUAAAACUCCUUCACAUCACUCCCCCACCACCCUCACACACUGAUAGGCAGGUCUUUGAAUUCCUGGACUGUGUCUCUACCUUACUACCCAUAGGGAUGUCAACCUGGUUGUGAGACUGAAAAAAAAUAAUGUGUGAUAUGAAGAAGUAGAGCAUGAGAUUUACUUUUUAGGUUUUAUUUUUUAAAUUUAAUUUAACCUUUUUUUUUUUUUUAAAUGCGCAGCUCUAAAGUCACCUGACUCUUUGAUUGGUUCUUUGAUUGGUCUGUCUGUAUGUCUACAGAGAUACAGAAGGGUGGAUCUGACGCACUGAGGACUCAAUGUUAGAGACAAUGUUAGGCAAGAAUAUAUUUACAUACACUGCUUAAUUGCCAUGGGAACAUGACACGGUAGUGUACAGAUGAGAGGUAGGUAGCCUAUGCCAGUGUCUCCCAACUCCGUACCCCCAACAGCACACAUUGUUGUUUUAGCUCAGGACAAAAACAUCUGAUUCAACUUGUCAAGGGCUUGAUUAUUAGUUAACAAGUAAAAUCAGGUGUGCUUGUCCGGGGCCACAACAAAAAAUAUGUCCUAGGUUGAGGGCGCACUGAACGGAGAGGCACUUACUGAACCAAAUUUCACAUCUUGACAGAAACUUUUAGAAUACGACAUUUAAAAAAUAUAUAUUUUUCAUAUGUUAAAGAUGAACAAUACAGAAAUUGUUUGGAUAUAUUGUAGUACUGGUACGUGCCUUGACAUCUGUAUAAUAUUGAUUGAAUAUAUGUAAUUAUAAUUAAGAAUGUCAAUAAUAUUGUUUACUGUUUAUUUAAAAAAUAAAAGAAGGAAUGAAAUGAAAGAAAGAAAUUUGGCAUUUAACGAAAACACCUUGUGUAAAUACUGAAAGACUGUGUACAAUUUAGUACUAUAAUUUAUUACCUGGUUGUUGUUUAAUUAAUAACACCAUGUUGAAGGUUGUUGUUGUUUAAUUAAUAACACCAUGUUGAAGGUUGUUGUUGUUUAAUUAAUAACACCAUGUUGAAGGUUGUUGUUUAAUCAAUAACACCAUGUUGAAGAUUGUUGUUGUUUAAUUAAUAACACCAUGUUGAAGGUUGUUGUUGUUUAAUUAAUAACACCAUGUUGAAGGUUGUUGUUGUUUAAUUAAUAACACCAUGUUGAAGGUUGUUGUUGUUUAAUCAAUAACACCGUGUUGAAGGUUGUUGUUGUUUAAUUAAUAACACCAUGUUGAAGGUUGUUGUUGUUUAAUUAAUAACACCAUGUUGAAGGUUGUUGUUGUUUAAUUAAUAACACCAUGUUGAAGGUUGUUGUUUAAUUAAUAACACCAUGUUGAAGAUUGUUGUUGUUUAAUUAAUAACACCAUGUUGAAGGUUGUUGUUGUUUAAUUAAUAACACCAUGUUGAAGGUUGUUGUUGUUUAAUUAAUAACACCAUGUUGAAGGUUGUUUAAUUAAUAACACCAUGUUGAAGGUUGUUGUUGUUUAAUUAAUAACACCAUGUUGAAGGUUGUUGUUUAAUCAAUAACACCAUGUUGAAGGUUGUUGUUUAAUCAAUAACACCAUGUUGAAGGUUGUUGUUUAAUUAAUAACACCAUGUUGAAUGUUGUUGUUUAAUCAAUAACACCAUGUUGAAGGUUGUUGUUUAAUUAAUAACACCAUGUUGAAGGUUGUUGUUUAAUUAAUAACACCAUGUUGAAGGUUGUUGUUUAAUUAAUAACACCAUGUUGAAGGUUGUUGUUGAAUUAAUAACACCAUGUUGAAGGUUGUUGUUUAAUUAAUAACACCAUGUUGAAGGUUGUUAUUGUUUAAUUAAUAACACCAUGUUGAAUGAUGUUGUUUAAUCAAUAACACCAUGUUGAAGGUUGUUGUUUAAUUAAUAACACCAUGUUGAAGUUUGUUGUUUAAUUAAUAACACCAUGUUGAAGGUUGUUAUUGUUUAAUUAAUAACACCAUGUUGAAGGAUGUUGUUUAAUCAAUAACACCAUGUUGAAGGUUGUUGUUGUUUAAUUAAUAACACCAUGUUGAAGGAUGUUGUUUCAUUAAUAACACCAUGUUGAAGGUUGUUUAAUUAAUAUCACCAUGUUGAAGGUUGUUGUUGUUGAAUUAAUAACACCAUGUUGAAGGUUGUUGUUUAAUUAAUAACCCCAUGUUGAAGGUUGUUGUUGUUGAAUUAAUAACACCAUGUUGAAGGUUGUUGUUGUAUAAUUAAUAACCCCAUGUUGAAAGUUGUUUUUGUAUAAUUAAUAACCCCAUGUUGAAGGUUGUUGUUGUUUAAUUAAUAACACCAUGUUGAAGGUUGUUGUUUAAUUAAUGACACCAUGUUGAAGGUUGUUGUUUAAUUAAUAACACCAUGUUGAAGGUUGUUAUUGUUUAAUUAAUAACACCAUGUUGAAGGUUGUUGUUUUCAUUAAUAACCCCAUGUUGAAGUUUGUUGUUGUUGAAUUAAUAACACCAUGUUGAAGGUUGUUGUUGUAUAAUUAAUAACCCCAUGUUGAAAGUUGUUGUUGUAUAAUUAAUAACCCCAUGUUGAAGGUUGUUGUUGUUUAAUUAAUAACACCAUGUUGAAGGUUGUUAUUGUUUAAUUAAUAACACCAUGUUGAAGGAUGUUGUUUAAUUAAUAACCCCAUGUUGAAGGUUGUUGUUGUUUAAUUAAUAACACCAUGUUGAAGGAUGUUGUUUAAUUAAUAACACCAUGUUGAAGGUUGUUGUUUAAUUAAUAACACCAUGUUGAAGGAUAAUGUUUAAUUAAUAACACCAUGUUGAAGGUUGUUGUUGUAUAAUUAACAACCCCAUGUUGAAAGUUGUUGUUGUAUAAUUAAUAACCCCAUGUUGAAGGAUGUUGUUGUUUAAUUAAUAACACCAUGUUGAAGGAUGUUGUUGUUUAAUUAAUAACACCAUGUUGAAGGUUGUUGUUUAAUUAAUAACCCCAUGUUGAAGGUUGUUGUUGUUUAAUUAAUAACCCCAUGUUGAGGGUUGUUGUUUAAUUAAUAACCCCAUGUUGAAGGUUGUUGUUGUUUAAUUAAUAACACCAUGUUGAAGGUUGUUGUUUAAUUAAUAACCCCAUGUUGAAGGUUGUUGUUUAAUUAAUAACACCAUGUUGAAGGAUGUUGUUUAAUUAAUAACCCCAUGUUGAAGGUUGUUGUUUAAUUAAUAACACCAUGUUGAAGGUUGUUGUUUAAUUAAUAACACCAUGUUGAAGGAUGUUGUUUAAUUAAUAACCCCAUGUUGAAGGUUGUUGUUUAAUUAAUAACCCCAUGGUGAAGGUUGUUGUUUAAUUAAUAACCCCAUGUUGAAGGUUGUUGUUUAAUUAAUAACACCAUGUUGAAAGUUGUUGUUUAAUUAAUAACCCCAUGUUGAAGGUUGCUGUUGUUUAAUUAAUAACACCAUGUUGAAGGAUGUUGUUUAAUUAAUAACCCCAUGUUGAAGGUUGUUGUUGUUUAAUUAAUAACACCAUGUUGAAGGUUGUUGUUUAAUUAAUAACACCAUGUUGAAGGUUGUUGUUUAAUUAAUAACACCAUGUUGAAGGAUGUUGUUUAAUUAAUAACACCAUGUUGAAGGUUGUUGUUGUAUUAAUAACCCCAUGUUGAAGGAUGUUGUUUAAUUAAUAACCCCAUGUUGAAGGUUGUUGUUUAAUUAAUAACCCCAUGUUGAAGGUUGUUGUUUAAUUAAUAACCCCAUGUUGAAGGUUGUUGUUUAAUCAAUAACCCCAUGUUGAAGGUUGUUGUUGUAUUAUACUGUAUCAUACUUCUUUUUCAUUGUAACCACCUGGGCACAAGUGAGUUCCUAUUUGUUGCACUUUUGUCUAUAUCCAAUUAAAUAAAUCAUAUUUUUUAUACAUAAA